rnacentral:rRNA from 1 species
AGAAUGAACCGGCGAGUUACGAUUUGAUGCAAGGUUAAGCAGUAAAUGUGGAGCCGUAGCGAAAGCGAGUCUGAAUAGGGCGUUUAGUAUUUGGUCGUAGACCCGAAACCAGGUGAUCUACCCUUGGUCAGGUUGAAGUUCAGGUAACACUGAAUGGAGGACCGAACCGACUUACGUUGAAAAGUGAGCGGAUGAACUGAGGGUAGCGGAGAAAUUCCAAUCGAACCUGGAGAUAGCUGGUUCUCUCCGAAAUAGCUUUAGGGCUAGCCUCAAGUGAUGAUUAUUGGAGGUAGAGCACUGUUUGGACGAGGGGCCCCUCUCGGGUUACCGAAUUCAGACAAACUCCGAAUGCCAAUUAAUUUAACUUGGGAGUCAGAACAUGGGUGAUAAGGUCCGUGUUCGAAAGGGAAACAGCCCAGACCACCAGCUAAGGUCCCAAAAUAUAUGUUAAGUGGAAAAGGAUGUGGCGUUGCCCAGACAACUAGGAUGUUGGCUUAGAAGCAGCCAUCAUUUAAAGAGUGCGUAAUAGCUCACUAGUCGAGUGACACUGCGCCGAAAAUGUACCGGGGCUAAACAUAUUACCGAAGCUGUGGAUUGUCCUUUGGACAAUGGUAGGAGAGCGUUCUAAGGGCGUUGAAGCAUGAUCGUAAGGACAUGUGGAGCGCUUAGAAGUGAGAAUGCCGGUGUGAGUAGCGAAAGACGGGUGAGAAUCCCGUCCACCGAUUGACUAAGGUUUCCAGAGGAAGGCUCGUCCGCUCUGGGUUAGUCGGGUCCUAAGCUGAGGCCGACAGGCGUAGGCGAUGGAUAACAGGUUGAUAUUCCUGUACCACCUAUAAUCGUUUUAAUCGAUGGGGGGACGCAGUAGGAUAGGCGAAGCGUGCGAUUGGAUUGCACGUCUAAGCAGUAAGGCUGAGUAUUAGGCAAAUCCGGUACUCGUUAAGGCUGAGC